CUUUUUUUUUUUUUUUUUUUUUUAAUUUGACAUGGCCAGGGAUAGUGGCCACAUCUUUAGAUUUAUUUAUUUUAUGUAUAUGAGUACACUGUUGCUCUCUUUAGACACACCAGAAGAGGGCAUCAGAUCUCAUUACAGAUGGUUGUGAGCCACCAUGUGGUUGCUGGGAAUUGAACUCAGGACCUCUGGAACAGUAGUCCAUGCUCUUAACCACUGAGCCAUCUCUCCAGCCAGCCAGCCCCCCCACACCCCGAAUAGGCUUUUAAGGAUGCACACAGUAAAGCAGUACCCAGGAGAGGUGCUGAUGUGUGAUACUCAGUUUCUGCAAAUUGCUCAAACUUUAGUCCUGUUAAUGCAUUUUUGUCUGUGUAUCUCACAGUAAUCCCACUCCAUGUUUUGUGUUGUUUUAUUUUUCUUUUUACUUAUUUUUGUGGUGCUGGCAGUCAAACCCAGGAACCUCAACAGUCCUUUCUAAAGUUGGGGUAGAAAAUUAAUCUUUAUUUUUAUUUUAUUGUUGAAUUGUUUUAGAUUUACUCUUACUUUGCAUGUAUGUCUUACAUACACGCAUGUAUAUGCACUAUGUGUAUGCCUUUUGGAUCCCCUGGAAUUGGGUUUACAAAUGGUUCUAAGCUACUAUCUGAAUGCUGUGAACUGAACCCAGGUCCUCUGUAAGAGCAACAAGUGAUCCUAACUGCUGAGCCAUCUCUCCAGCCCCUUGUAUUUUGAGACAGGUUCUCAGAUAGCCCUGGUUGACUUUGAAUUCUCAGUGUUGCCAAGGAUGGCCUUGAGUUUCUGAAACUCCUGCAUUCACCACCUAAAUUCUGGGCUUUCAGGAAUUUACCACCAUCACCAGUGUAUGCAGUGCUAGGAUCUAAUUCAGGGUCUUGCACACACAUUACAUAACUAAGCUACAUCCCCUGCCCUCGUGGAUCUGUGUAGUCUGAUGGUAGUGCAUAUGUAAAUCAGAGAUCAAUAUACUACGUCUUUUCUCUUUACCUCCCUUCCUUCCCCCUCAGGGUUUCUCUGUGUAGUCUUGGCUGUUUAGAGUGUUAGCCUCUGCCUCUGCCUCCAGAAUGCUGGGAUUAAAGGUAUACACCAGCAACAACUGGCAAGUAUUUGUACUUUUUAUCAGGAAGUUUUGUUUUAUAUUAUAUUUUCACAGUUUUGAGACAGGAUCUCUCUUUGUAGCCUUCACUGUGCUAUAGAACUCAAGUGUGUUGACCAGGCUGGCAUUGAACUCAGAUCACCUGCAUCUGUCUCACAUAUUUUCUCUUUUCUUCAGUUGUUGAAUUGGUAAUAUGAGGUCAAAAUUACUAUGAUCCUUUUCUUUGUGCAUUCCCAAUGUUUGAACACAACUUUUUAGUUGUUUGUUUUUUUUUUGUUUUUUUUUUUUUUCUUCUCGAGAUAGGGUUUCGCUGUAUAACCCUGGCUGUCCUGGACUCUGUAAACCAGGCCUCAAACUCAGGAUCUGCCUGCCUCUUCUUCCCAAGUGCUGGGAUUAAAGGCGUGCGCCACCACUGCCGGUUAACACAACUCUUGUUAAAUAAAUGUUUAUUGAAAACAACGUAUUGGCACAUGCCUUUAAUCCUAGCAUUUGGAAGGUAGAGAUAAGUUACUGUCUGGGUUCUAGGCAAGCCUAGUCUAUGUAGUGAGUUCCAGAUGGCCCUGUCUCAAAAAAAAAAAGUAAGCCAACCCCCACCC
rnacentral:lncRNA from 1 species